UAACGGAUAAAAUGUCCAGUCUUACCAACGUCCACAGUCACCAUAGAAAAAUGAAGAUAUGUUUUAGUUUGAAUGGAUCUGAAAGAUGAAGAAAAAUGAAAAAUAGAAAAAACACAGAAGACACGUCUCUUAAUCAAGCUCCGUAAGCAACGUCUCUUAUGAGGCAGCUGUCAAAACAUGAGUGGGUUGAGGUAAGGUUUGGUGUUUCGACCUUCUCGACUUCUGCAAACUUCAUCCAUGGCUGCUGCUGCUCACACCUUCCUCUCCUUCUCAUCGCCUACGCACCUCCUCGUUUCUCCUUCGCCCACCGUCGCCAAUCUGUUUCCUUCUCCGCCUCCUCGAAGAAAUCGCUACCAGUGGUUUCAGCCGCGAAGAAAGCUGUCUCCGUGCUCAAGGGUAACUCCGAUGUCGAAAGAGUUGUUACUUUGACACAAGAAGACACAAGUCCCUUCUCAAUUUUGAUUCUGAAUGUGUAAUUGGAUCAUUGCUUAGUGUUUACAUCGUAUCUGAUUUUCAAAAUCACCAAGAUUCCUUCCUUUUCUCCCAAUCAGUGUUUGGCUUACUCGUUAGUUUAAGCUGCAUUGGGAUAUAGAGAGUAAGAGAGAGUGUUCUUGGAUGUGGAUGAGAAGAUUCUUGUCACUUUUAGGAAUCAUGAUUGAUGUUUGAUCAACUUUAGUGGAUGAUCCUUCAUCCAUAUUUUUUUUUGCAUAAAAAUGAAGUCUUUGGAAUGCGUUUCUGUGAUGAUUUCAGCACCGUUGAUUGAUUUAGUUUUCAACAGGUUAGAUCAGGAACAAAUCCGCUUGAAAGAGCUGCCUUAAAGAUGGCAAUACUUGAAUCUUUUGCAGAAAGCGGUUCCCUACUCACCAUGGCAACCACACACACAUCACGGAGAGCUUAAGAUGCUUAAAUACAUCAAUUCUUGCGUUUGAGAAGGCUUGCAUGGAGUUUGAUGACCUGAACUUGAAGCCCACUUUCAAAAUCUUGUGGGGAGUACCAGGUCGUUCGAAUGCAAUAAACAUAGCCGAAAGAUUGGAGCUUCCAUGUGAUAUCAUCAAUAGUGCUCGUGGACUAUAUGGUUCUGCAAGUGCGGAGAUCAAUGAGAUCAUACUUGACAUGAAACGGUACAAGCAAGAUUAUCAGAGGCUUUUAAACGAGUCACAUCGUUAUAUAAGGUAAGAAGCUAUGGUUGUCUCAGAGCAUUAAACAAGAUUCAAGACCCAUGAAUCAGGAGCUUGCACACUCUUAUAAGCUUCUCUUUAUGGUUCUUAACCUUGCUCAACGAGCUGAGUGUCAGGUAUUGUAUCGAGGAGGAGGAAAAUCAAAUGUUUUAUAAUUUUUUUUUAAAAACCCAUAAUUAAGAGACUUGCAAUAAACUCCUAAAUGUUCAAAUCUCUUUCUAAGUCU